rnacentral:rRNA from 1 species
CCUACGGGAGGCAGCAGUGAGGAAUAUUGGUCAAUGGGCGCAAGCCUGAACCAGCCAAGUCGCGUGAGGGAUGACGGUCCUAUGGAUUGUAAACCUCUUUUGUCGGGGAGCAAAGCGCGGUACGAGUACCGUUAAGGAGAGUACCCGAAGAAAAAGCAUCGGUUAACUCCGUGCCAGCAGCCGCGGUAAUACGGGGGCUGCGAGCGUUAUCCGGUUUUAUUGGGUUAAAGGGGUGCGUAGGCGGAUUAGUAAGGCGGCGGGAAAAAUGCGGUGCUCAACGCCGUAUCGCCAUUGAAACUGCGGGUCUUGAGUGAGCGAGAGGUAUGCGGAAUGCGUGGUGUAGCGGUGAAAUGCAUAGAUAUCACGCAGAACUCCGAUUGCGAAGGCAGCAUACCGGCGCUCAACUGACGCUGAGGCACGAAAGCGUGGGGAUCGAACAGGAUUAGAUACCCGGGUAGUC